CUCCCACUCUUCUUCGCAGCUUCAUCUAAUUGAACUUAUAAAACCUAAUCUCCUACUCUUUUUCGCUGUUUCAUCUAAAUAAUCACAACGACUCACUCCGAGGGCAUGAAUGGGUUUUGCAUGUGAGAUCUAAGUUUUGAGCCGGUAUUGAGAGGAAUGCAGUCGUGGGAUGGCCUGCUUCUUUGGGAUCCCAUGGGAUUCAAGAUGGUCAUAAUUGCAGUUUCACUAAUCACAAUAGAGAAGGAAACAAGUUAAUGGUCCCGGACCACCGAAACUAAUGGAAACUUGCCACAGAGCCCAGGUGGGGAUAUGAUUGAUAGUGUACACAUCUCUCACCAGCCCGCUUUUGAUCAUCCAUUUCUCAAAGACCACAAAAUUCAGAUAAGGCCAAAUUAUCAUCCAGAAGGACUUUAUGAUGAGAACAGAGUGUCCAAUGAAAGAGAGAACAGAAUCAAGCAGCUGUGGCACGUGCCCUAAAGAUACAAUCCCCAUAAGAAGAACAAAAGUAGAUUAUGUGUUGAGAGCAAGUAUGAAUGCUUAUUGGUAUUUUUAUGACUGUUUUUUCUUGUCUACAAUAUAGCCACUGAUGUCUUCUGUAAAGAUUUUGUUCGCGAGAAACGACCCUGUAGGAACUUACUUCGCACUAAACCGAUUGGGCAAGGGACAACCUCCUAGACUCAAGGACAAUUUGUUGGAUACUUAUUGGCUUAUUGCAUUACAAGUUACAAACCAGCAUUAAGGAACUGGUGACAUAGAAAAUGAGGCAAAUUUUGGCAAAAGGAAAGACGACAUGUUGUGGAAUACUUGCAAAGAUGGGUAAUUUGACCAAGAAGUUGAUAUGAAUGGAGGAGGGCUAGGAUGCUAGGAAAACUGCAAAGGGUAAGGUUCCAGUUUCCAACCAAGAGCCUGUGAACUCUCACAAUCUGCUUCCUCAAAACAUUUACUAUUUCAAAAGAUUCUGCUUCAUUCAUCUCAGACGAUUCUUCGACACUUGCAACAAUUCUGAUCUCUGUUUCACACUCAAAUUCUGUAUUUUUGUUUUAUUUUGGCUGACUUCUCAGCAACUGGUAGUAUGAAUCCAAUGAUCCGGACAAUGGUUCCACCUCCGUUUCAGCAGAUGGCACCUGCACCAUGGUUUCCACCAUCACCACCAGUGACCAGUUGACCCAAACGAAUAGUCACGAGGGCAUGCUCUUUUUGCUGAUCAUGUGGCAUACAAUAAAAAUAUAUAUGAUUACACAUAAAUAUUUAAUAUCUCCUUGGAGUAAAAUAUAGGUUUAAUUUACUUAAUUAAUUCUCUUCUGAGUUUUGUUUAUUUACUUUGUAAAUUGUACUUUUAUAUUAGUCUCGGGGUAAACUAAUAAAGUAUAUUUAUUUAAUAUAUAGGCACUUUUUAUUGUCAUAUUAGUGGAAUUUUUUAUAUAUAUGCAAGGGGUUAUUUUUGUUAUUAUUACAUGGCAUCCGAAGUUCCUAAUUGCAGGUUGCGUAGAGAAGUCGUGUAACUAUCACUUGGGACUGAGAAACAUAACCAGUUGGCAGUGUAAUGUGUGCAAUUGAUUUCGAUAGGGUGAGUGGAUCUUGGGUUCAAUUGAGGGGCCUAUUUUUCUACAUGCACAAGGCCUUAGAAUUCUUAGGGAUUCUUAGAGACGACUCUGACGCAUAUCAAACCGGUCAAAUGCAUAUAGUUAGCAAAGGCGCACCCGAGAAGAUACUCAAUCCUGCACAUAACAAACCAGAGAUCGCGAACAAGGUACAUUGGAUCAUCAACAAGUUUCCAAAGCAUUGGCUUCAGUCUACUGGAGUUGCUUGCCAAGUGAUUCAACUGUUCAACACAGCCUCGAUGGUUAACAUCCUAACUUUGAUUAUAAAAAGUUGAAUCAUUUUAUUUUUGUUUCAAGAAGUGCUAGCUGGAACAAAAGAGAGCAUGGGUGGCUUGUGGAAGUUAGUUGACCUUCUUCUGCUAUUCAACCCUCUACAACAUGACCGCGCUAAAACGAUCAACAUAGCUUUAUAUCUUGGAUUGAAGAAACACAUCCAAGGUUGCGGAUUGGGUUCAGCUGCAAAGGCAGCUAAGGAACCAGGUUAUGCUACAAUCCAAUGAUGUGGAAGUGGAAGUUAGAGACGGGAAAUGUGGAGUUCUUGGUUAGCCAUGUUAGAAAAUGUCUGGAAGACUGGAGGUGCCUAAGGUGAAUUACUUUGCGUAGAGAGCGGUCGAUGGGAAGAUUCCUAGGGCUUCCAGUUUUGCAGUAAGAAAUGUCCACUUCAGCAACGGCUAUAGGAUACGUGUGGAUAUUGCAAACUAUAUGUUUGAACGAGAGAGAAUACACUCUUUUGGAUAGAUAAUUGUUUAGAUGGCAGAGCAACUUUAUAACUCUAUAGCCAACACAUUAAUAUGUCAUACAUUUUGUAUCAUUUUAAGUAUGCAUUAAUCAUAAAUAAAAGUAUAUUAAUAA